ACUGCGUAACCGUUUUCGGAGCGUUUAUUCUGAAACACAUACAGGAAGUGUACAUGAAGCUCAUCCGCUCAACUUUAAGAACCUCUGACCCGCUGUCGCUAAUUGCUACUGUUGUAACAUCUGGAGCAGCAGCAAGUGCAGCAGUAUUAAUCAACAUCUGACGAACGAAAAGGUGAUCAGAGUUUGAAACAGUCACACCUUGUGGAUACAGCGUACGGGAAUAACAAGUUGAGGAUUGCCUUUGGGAUCGGGAGUCUUCUGGGAAUUGCCUGAUGUGAUGACAAAUAGAGGAGAUGAAGAUGGACACCCUGGUCAAAAACGGGACUUCUGACAGAGAUGAUUCUUUUUGACAUGGAGGACUUUUUACGCCUGCACAGUCAACGUAAUCACAGUGGAAAAAAGUGGUUACAUUCCCUUUGCGCGUAAAGUAGAACUUCAAUUGAUUUUUCGUAUUCUUUUUUUUUGGCAUUUGCGUUUGUCCAGAUGAUCCCGCGAAGCCUGUGGAUAAAGAUCACCUGGUAGGAAGCAGAGGGAGAAUUUCAUUUUGAGCUUCCUGUCCAUUGAAGGUCCAGUGAGCACCAGUGCGCGUCACACAGAGUCACCAGGGCGGCCGCGCACAACCGGAUCUUCCAUCGGGGCUCCGGCGCUUUGCACCGCGGCAUCUCAAGGACCUGCUCGGGUUUUCUCGCCUCCGUGCGCAGCGUUAUUACAAAUGGCCAGAGGAUAGAGAGUCUCCAUGGUGUUGACCGGGCAGGUGUGUCACCGCGGGAACAACAGCGGCUGUUCUGCUCAGUAAACGCCGGACACACCUUUUUAAUGUCAGACAAGAUCUCGGCUCGGUUGCCAUGACGAGCGAGGAGUGUCCUGUGCCGCUGAGGAGCAUCUCCACGGCGGUGCCAGGGCAGAGCGAGGAGUACAACUCGGCGCAGCCUGAUGACAUAAUCGAGGAGGUGGGUCCGGAUGAUGAUGAUGAUGAUGUCACCAUCGGCAGCGACCUCAGCACGCUCGUGGUGCCCUUCCCGGAUCUGGCGCCCGUGGUCUUUUUCUGCCUGAAACAGACCACCUGUCCCCGUAGCUGGUGCAUCCGUAUGGUGUCCAACCCAUAUCCUUUUACCCACUGCCUCAGGUGGACGGGAGUCUGGUACAACUGAUUUGAUCUUUGACCCGUGAUUUCUUCACUCUUUAGUCCCAGUCACUUCCUCAAUAUAAAGAGAUGGAAGUAGAAAACUAGAAGAGGUUGCCAUUUGUUUCAUUUAUGUUUAAAAUUAUUUGGUAAAUAUUACACUUGCAGUGUGAAGGCUGGUAAAAUAAUAAUAAUAAUAAUAAUAAUAAUAAUAAUAUUUAAUCUGAUUAUUUUCACAAAUUAAUUCAUUGUUGAUCUAAUUAACUUCAACAGCUCUAAUGACAACAUGUAAUAAUAAUUUGUUUUACAUGUUUUAUUCUAUUCUUCUGGCUGAAUGGGGGAAAUAAAUGUAAACCACCAUGUAUUCAUGUAUCUUACUGAUACGGUGUGAUUUUACAUUUUAGAAUGAUUGACAGGUCCACCAUAGUUGUUUUAUUCGUCCAAAGAUCUUCGUUUCAGUCGCCCUUUUUUCCUGCUCUUCAUUCCCCUCCAUUAGCCCCAUGUAUCAAUUUUGCCAUAUUUUCUUUUCUUUUUUCUGUUAUUUAUUUAAUUCUUUUUUAAAUGCACUUUCAUCCCUCUGGGCUCUGAUCCGUCUCCUCUCAUCCACCUUCACUACAUAAUCUGCUGGAUUUGCCUCCACAGGGCAGGCAGGCAUCCACGGAUCUUCUCAAAGUGUGACCCCAGAGAGCUCUCCUAGAGCAGCUGCUGUAGCAGUGGAGGGAAAACAGCGAGCAGGAGACACAUACAGAUUAACGAAAAGAGUAUUGAUAUGUUUGUAAGUGUCUGUGUGGGUGAGUGUCUGCUGAACUGGAAAAGGAGAGAGAGAGAGAGAGAGAGACUAAAAAUGAGUUAUGAGCACAUUUCCAACCAUGUAAUCCCAGUAUGUACAGUAUGUCAUGUGUGUCCGCCCGUUAUAUGACAUGUACAAAGCAACACAAUAUCAGCAUCAACAGUCUUUUUAACUUUACUAAUGACAGUUUGAAUGGACUGCUUAGAAAAUCUUACUAAAACUAAUUAUUUCAAACUUUUGCUCAUUUAUAUUAUUAUUGACCUAAAUCCAUGACAGAGUCUACGAAGAAGCACUUAAAGUCACUUCUGUACAACA